rnacentral:rRNA from 2 species
UUGACCUCAAAUCAGGUAGGACUACCCGCUGAACUUAAGCAUAUCAAUAAGCGGAGGAAAAGAAACUAACAAGGAUUCCCCUAGUAACUGCGAGUGAAGCGGGAAAAGCUCAAAUUUGAAAUCUGGCGGUUCUGAACUGUCCGAGUUGUAAUCUAGAGAAGUGUUACCUGUGCUGGACCGUGUACAAGUCUCCUGGAAUGGAGCAUCAUAGAGGGUGAGAAUCCCGUCUUUGACACGGACUACCUGUACAUUAUGGUGCGCUCUCGAAGAGUCGAGUUGUUUGGGAAUGCAGCUCAAAAUGGGUGGUAAAUGCCAUCUAAAGCUAAAUAUUGGCGAGAGACCGAUAGCGAACAAGUACCGUGAGGGAAAGAUGAAAAGAACUUUGGAAAGAGAGUUAAACAGUACGUGAAAUUGCUGAAAGGGAAACGCUUGAAGUCAGUCGCGUUGGCUAGAAAUCAACCUAGCUCUUGCUCGGUGUACUUUCUGGUUGACGGGUCAGCAUCAAUUUUGACCAUUGGAUAAAGUCUUUGGGAAUGUGGCAUCUUCGGAUGUGUUAUAGCCCAUUGUCGCAUACGGUGGUUGGGAUUGAGGAACUCAGCACGCCGCAAGGCCGGGUUUCGACCACGUUCGUGCUUAGGAUGCUGGCAUAAUGGCUUUAAUCGACCCGUC